rnacentral:rRNA from 1 species
UACGGAGGAGGCAAGCGUUAUCCGGAAUUAUUGGGCGUAAAGCGUCCGCAGGUGGCUAUUCAAGUCUGCGAUCAAAGACUGGGGCUUAACCCUGGAAAGGCCGUGGAAACUGAAGAGCUAGAGUGCAGUAGGGGUAGAGGGAAUUCCCGGUGUAGCGGUGAAAUGCGUAGAGCUCGGGAAGAACAUCGGUGGCGAAAGCGCUCUGCUGGACUGCAACUGACACUCAGGGACGAAAGCUAGGGGAGCGAAUGGG